AUGCAGCUUCACAUACAGCUCGGGAAGCACAUAACUGUCGAAGACAUUCACUUUGGAAAUGUCCCUGACGGAGGCGGCCUCCACUAUAUUCCGAAUGACAAACUUCUUAAUGGCCUUAUCCUUGGGUACAACCGGGCGCAGUUCAUGCAGCGAAUAGGCUGCCAGCUUCUUCAGGUGGUCAGAGCAGCCAAUGGUGCCCAGUAUAUCUUUCAGCCUCAGCAGUCAGUAGUUCUACAACAACAAGUUAUACCACAGAUGCAGCCUGGAGGUGUACAAGCUCCUGUUAUACAACAGGUUUUAGCCCCUCUUCCUGGAGGAAUUUCACCACAGACGGGCGUCAUCAUCCAGCCUCAGCAAAUCUUAUUCACAGGAAAUAAGACUCAAGUUAUACCUACAACAGUGGCAGCACCCACCCCAGCACAGGCACAGAUAACCGCAGCCAGUCAGCAGCAACCACAGGCACAGCCUACCCAGCAGCAGGCGCCGUUGGUUUUACAGGUUGAUGGGACUGGAGACACAUCAUCAGAAGAAGAGGAAGAUGAGGAAGAGGAUUAUGAUGAUGAUGAAGAGGAAGAAAAGGAGAAGGAUGGAGCCGAGGAUGGGCAGGUGGAAGAGGAGCCCCUCAACAGUGAAGAUGAUGUGAGUGAUGAGGAAGGACAGGAGCUUUUUGACACGGAAAAUGUUGUCGUGUGCCAGUAUGAUAAGAUACACAGAAGUAAAAACAAAUGGAAAUUUCAUCUCAAGGAUGGCAUUAUGAAUCUUAAUGGAAGAGAUUAUAUAUUUUCCAAAGCCAUUGGAGAUGCAGAAUGGUGAAGAGUUGCUUCUUUUAUAAAUAAAACAAAAGAAACUUAACAAAAUUAAAGUGGAUGGUUUGGAACUUGGGACAUAAUACCAACCAAAACUUCACUUCUGCAUGUCAGAAAAGUGCAGUAGAAGGAAAGCUACUGGAGCGAAGAUAGACCGUGACAGCAUAGACACUACUUCUAACUGGCAAGCCAUGGAACUGUAGUACCUGGGGGUAUUGGGGUGGGGGUUGGGUUUUGUGUAGGAAAAUCAUAAUUGUCAAUUUUAAAUACAGGAACUUGCCACCGGCAAUUAGCAUGUAAAGCUUUGUCUAUUAUCCUUCCUCCAACUUGGGCUUAAUUAGAAGACACUUGUUGGAAUGAACUGAAGAAACUUCCUUUUGAUAGAUUGAAAUGAAACUGCUUAUUGUAUGUGGUUAUAUUUGGUAAAAAUUACGUGCGAGCUUUUUACAAAAGGGUAAGAAUUAUGGUGUUGAAUUUUAAUUCACUUGUAUAAGUAAACAACUGAAACUCUCGUCUUAAAAUUUUUUACCUGUUAUUCUCCCCCAGUAAUAUAGAUCUGUUCCCUGCUUUAUGAAACAUCUAUUUAAGAAUUAAAGGAAGUGUGA